AUACUGUGCUUUCUUUUCAGUUUGUAUAAUUUUUUUGCUUUUUACUAAAGAUUGCUGUGGAGAGGAAUGUUUGUGAGCUUGUACCCAAUUUUUUAAGGCUUUGAUUUAGCAAGGCU